GAUGAACGCUGGCGGCGUGCCUAAUACAUGCAAGUCGAGCGAAUGGAUUAAGAGCUUGCUCUUAUGAAGUUAGCGGCGGACGGGUGAGUAACACGUGGGUAACCUGCCCAUAAGACUGGGAUAACUCCGGGAAACCGGGGCUAAUACCGGAUAACAUUUUGAACCGCAUGGUUCGAAAUUGAAAGUCGGCUUCGGCUGUCACUUAUGGAUGGACCCGGGUCGCAUUAGCUAGUUGGUGAGGUAACGGCUCACCAAGGCAACGAUGCGUAGCCGGCCUGAGAGGGUGAUCGGCCACACUGGGACUGAGACACGGCCCAGACUCCUACGGGAGGCAGCAGUAGGGAAUCUUCCGCAAUGGACGAAAGUCUGACGGAGCAACGCCGCGUGAGUGAUGAAGGCUUUCGGGUCGUAAAACUCUGUUGUUAGGGAAGAACAAGUGCUAGUUGAAUAAGCUGGCACCUUGACGGUACCUAACCAGAAAGCCACGGCUAACUACGUGCCAGCCGCCGCCGUAA
rnacentral:rRNA from 1 species